rnacentral:rRNA from 1 species
GAUGAACGCUAGCGGCAGGCUUAACACAUGCAAGUCGAGGGGCAGCACGUCUUCGGAUGGUGGCGACCGGCGCACGGGUGCGUAACGCGUAUACAAUCUACCUUUUACAGGGGCAUAGCCCGGGGAAACCCGGAUUAAUAUCCCAUGGUAUCAUUUAGUGGCAUCACUUGAAUGAUUAAAGUUUCGGCGGUAAAAGAUGAGUAUGCGUCCUAUUAGCUAGAUGGUAAGGUAACGGCUUACCAUGGCAACGAUAGGUAGGGGUCCUGAGAGGGAGAUCCCCCACACUGGUACUGAGACACGGACCAGACUCCUACGGGAGGCAGCAGCGAGGAAUAUUGGACAAUGGGCGAGAGCCUGAUCCAGCCAUGCCGCGUGCAGGAAGACUGCCCUAUGGGUUGUAAACUGCUUUUAUACGGGAAGAAACACCCUCACGUGUGAGGGCUUGACGGUACCGUAUGAAUAAGGAUCGGCUAACUCCGUGCCAGCAGCCGCGGUAAUAC